GACAAAUGAAGUUGAGUCAUGAUCUCUACUCACGUAUGCACCAAGUCUACGCUGCAUGUCUAGUUCUAGACUCAAGUGUGACUGCAGGCUCCAGGGACACCUGGGAAGAAGCUUAGAGCUCUUUUGGCAAAGCGGAGCUCAGCAUCACGAGAGAGAUGGAGGGCUGCCGGUGUGAUGUACCAGCGUGGAACCUGCUCCUAGAACUGUCCCCGGAACCGGACUGGAUGAGAGAAUGUGUCUGGAACAGGACCAGCCCUUCCCCACCCCUGGAAAGAAAACCGGCGUGGACUAGCAGUGUCAUCACUGUAGGUAAGAACCAGACAAACCCAUUCUAACUGGCCAUUUACUCCCCAAACCAGAGGUUUGGUCUUGCUGGUUGCUCCCAGCAGGAAGUCCCCUGGCGGGUGAAUUCACAAGUGAUCGCUGA